rnacentral:lncRNA from 1 species
GGUUGCCGAGUGACUCCGAACGCACUUCAGCUCGCUUGCUAAAUAUAAACAAACCUGUGAAAUUAUAGAAUAAACAAUAACCAGAUACUUAACACACAGCUUCAACAUGCUAUUUUAAUAAAAAGCUGCAUAGCAAAGAGACACCCAGCAAGGAAAUAACUUGUAGGCAUAAAAUAAAUUAUGAAAACCGACUUGCGUGAUAAUCAUAACAAAGCAAA